UAGUUGUGGGGGUGUAUGAAGAUCAUAAAUAGCAGGAACUCAUACAAGAAGAGUAUCAUACUCAAGCAGAAGUCUCUGACCGCCGCUGCUGAAGCACAGAGCUUCUGAACUUCACCAUGACCACCUUUCCUGAAGACAAUGCUAAAUUUGCUGUUGAACUUUACCACCGGCUAAUCAAAGAACACCCACACGAGAACAUCUUGUUCUCCCCUGUGAAUGCUACCUCUGCUGUGGGCCUGCUUGCCUUUGCAUCUGGAGGUGAACAGGCAGCUGAGAUUGAGAAGGUCAUUCAUUGGACUGUGCUAGAAGAGCAUCAUGAUUCCAAAAACAGAGGGUAUCUGGAAGCACUUAGAAG